rnacentral:lncRNA from 1 species
CUAAAUAAAAAAAAGGAUUCUAACAAAAUAAAAAAUAAAAAAAGGAUUAAGUGAGAUCCUGUCUGUUCUCCAAAUGAUCUAUGGAUUGGUACCAUAUUCCCUCAAUAAAAAUAUAAUUUUCUCUACAGCUUCUAUCGACAUUUGAUUGCAUUGACUCUAAAUACCAAACCUUUUUUUAUAUAUAUGCAUUCUAAGAUGGGUUUAUGGUAAUGUACUGCAAGAUGGGGGGUAGCACUCUUCC